GCCUUCGUGGUGCAGUGGUUAGCACAUUCGGGGCGUAUUCGAGAGAUCCGUGGUUCGAGUCCCGGUGAGGGCA
rnacentral:tRNA from 1 species